ACCUAAAAGCAUUAGUUUUGCUCACAGAACUUUUGCUCAGCUAAAAUUAUUGGAAAGAAAGAGGGAAAAAGGUUUUAUUCAUUAUUAAUGAGUAAAUAUUUGGCAUAAGUCUAUGCAUAAAAAAUAAUUUCAUAUGCUUAGCUAUAAAAUUCUUUUCAUAGGAUAAUAUUUUUAGUUUGCAGUGUAUGUAUAUGUAAAUAAGCUAUUGAUACUAUAUGUAAGUGAGCUGAGCUGCAUAUACUUUGAAAUUUGCUACAUAUUCUAUCUUGAAAGGUUCAUGUGUGAUAUUUAUAUAGUUUCAAUUAAUUAUUACAUUUCACAUGCAAUUUUUAUCCAGUAUAUGUCUUUUAUAUAUACUUUUAUUUUUAUUUUUGUAGGGUAAAGGCAAAGCAAGUAUUUUAGCAUCAGGCUGUUAUUUGAAAAAAAAAAAAAAAAAAAAAAAAAAAAAUCCAAAUUCUGCACUUCUAAUAUUUGCUAAAUGGAAUAGAAGACAUGGAAUCUCUUGGACCAGCUCAGAAUAAACAGCCCAUUAUAGUGUGUAUUACAAGUUCAUUCUAUAUUAAAGCAGUAAAUCACUUAAAAGCAUGCCCAAAUCAUGCCAUGAAGGCAUUUGACAUUCUAUUUAAAACUAAUUUUGUAUUUAGCGUUCAAUAUGCACAUACAUCAACAAAUUUUUAUAAUUUUGUGGCAAGCCUUUUGUAUAAUGUCAGCACUCCUAGAGCUUGUGUGGACUCUUUAAAUACAUGUUCGAGUCUGAAUUUAUUGCAUUUUGUACAUGCAUUACAUUUCAUAUUUUUAAUGUCAUUUUAGUGUCAUAUUUUCCAUUUUUAUAUAUGUAUAUAUAUGUACAUAUAUUUCCUAAUAAAGAGUUUUUCAUGCAA